rnacentral:snRNA from 1 species
UAUAAUGGCCGUCCCUCCCGAAGCUGUGCGCUCAGUCGAAUAGGACGACCUUCCUCCCCUCCCCGCCAGGAGAGGACCGGUCUUCGGUCAAGGGUAUACAAGUAGCUGCGCUCCCCUGCUAGAACCUCCAAACAAGCUCUCAAAAUGUAAAUUCUUCAGGACAGAUUAGAUAUUGUCUUUAAAAAUUUGCUGAUAGUGACACCUGGAUUUGUAUUCUGAGC